rnacentral:lncRNA from 1 species
UGGAGUUUAUUUGCAUUUAUGACCAGAUGCUUGGAAACUAACUAUUAUUGCUGUGAUUGUUGUUGAACUUUUAAUGAAUUACAUGCUGCACCAAUUUUAGCGGACCGUAAUUUCUUCUCUAAAAGUACAAAUGUGUGAAAAUUACAACAAAAUGGAAAUGCUGACAGAUGUUCAGCUAAAGUAUCACUACCUUGGACUUAUUCCAUAUUGUGUUUUCAAGCCCUGUUUUUCUCCUCAGAUAGUUUAAGAAAACCUCUAAACAACUCUUGAAAUGACAGUACAUCUUCAAUAAGAUCUCUCAUGAAUUCUGCACAUUUUAAUUCUCAAAUUAUGUUAAAUGUCUAGAUCCACUCUAGGAUGACUAAAUAUAUAGAACUAAGUAAUACAAUUUACUAAAAAGAAUUGCUCCCUCUAGUGAAGUCACAAUAUUAUUUCAUUUCCUGGCACUCCUGUACUGAGUAAUUUAAUAAAUGUUAUAAGUGAUGAUGACUAUUAUGUUGAUGAUAGUGGUCUGGCCUACUUUUGUGAUAUUAAAUUUUAAUGUUUUCUGUGCUUGAAAACAGGAAAGUUAAUAAUGGUUGAUUACAGCUGUUUACUGGAUAUUUUAGAACAUUACAUUUAAAAACUCUGUGUUGAAAAAGUAAUUUAUUUCUAAAACUCUUGAGAUUAUUUCUGAAACACUAUUGGUACUAUGUGAUGUUGAGGCCUAUGACAAAGUUGACAUUAGCAGAGUAAAGAGGG